CAAGAGAGAGACCAGCCAGGGAGUAGCCCGGAGCUUGGAGCUGAACUGCAGACUGCUACUAGACUGCGCGCGGAGCUGAGCUGAACUGCCCACGCCACGCAGCGCAGACGCAGUCUCAUCAUCAAGUCCGGAGGGAGAGCCGGAGAACCGGUUCAGCCAGCAAAAUGAGGAGCUCCGUCUGUGAGCGCAGCCUCAUCAUCGAGAGCGACGACGACGACGACGACCAUCCCCAAUCCCGGUCAUCCGCCGCCGCCCGCAGCAGAAGACGCCACCACCAACAGGAGGAGGACUCCGCCGCAGGAUCCGACUCCCAUUCCGGUUCCUCCUCGUCCUCCUGCGGCACCCCGCGCGGUCCGGCCACCGACUCCUCCUACACCCAGCAAUGGCCACAGAGCUACAGGCAGUCCAUCGACAUUCUUAGUGGCGUGCAGUCACCAAAUCUGAGCUUCUUGGGAAAUGGGAACCCCAACUCUAAGCAGAUUGUCCAACUCUUUUCGGGGUAAAACCCCUGAAAUCAUCUCCAAUCUUGUUAAGCCACUUCUUCGCCCCACUACAAGUGAUGACCACCAACACCACCACCAGCAGCCUGAAGAAAGAAAGAGUUCUCAGUACCUUCUGCCUUCGAGAAAACCAUCUUUGCAACAGAUUCCUGAGGAUCAAAAGCCAGUGCCAGUUGCUCAUGAGGUGUCUCCGUAUCAUAAAUGCACUUACACCCAGGCAGUUGUGAAUGGAUGGACUAAAGCCAAUACAGGUUGCUGCUUUGAGAAAUAACCGUGAAUUUCUGGAACUUCUUUUAGCAUUAACUAUCCCAUUUCUAAGUGUGUCAAAUUGGAGUUUUGAUGGAAUCACAAAAUACAUGUUGUCUAAAGCUGCUGUGGGAGAGUCACAAGUAAAAGAAGCUACAUCUCUGAAUUCAGCCAGUUUAGCCGGACCGCAAUCUGCUGGGAUUUUAUUUUGCAGUCACAAGUAAAAGAAGCUACAUCUCUGAAUUCAGCCAGUUUAGCCGGACCGCAAUCUGCUGGGGUGUCAUCUAGCGCAAAAGGGGAUUCGAUGGAAGCUAAUUUGAGAGGUUAUGAUGCCUAUAAAAAUGAAAAUUACAUUGGAGCGGUGGAUGCUUACACACAGGCCAUUGACUUGGAUCCUAGCAAUGCCACACUCUGGUCAAACAAGAGCCUUUGCUGGUUGUUGCUUGGGAUGGCUGAAACUGCCUUGGAGGAUGCAAAGCAAUCUCGAACAUUGAGACCAGAUUCGGGGAUAGCUUGCUACAGGGAAGGUGCGGCAUUGCACGAGCUACAGAGGUUUUUUGAAGCUGCAAUUGCCUUUUAUGAAGGGGCUAAUCUUAAACCAGAGAACCAAGAAUAUCUCAGCGCCUUCAUGUAGUAUCAUUUCCUGUCCAAAGAACAUGGCUUCCAUUAGAGUGGACAGGGCCAUGCUUUGCCAUACUUUGAUGCUCUACUCAUUAAUCCUUUCUUUUUUCCACUAUCAAACAAUAGGGAUGUUGUUGAGGAGGGAAUGAAGUCGCAAGCCAAACCUAACCAGUCUUCCACUGCAGCCAGGAGUCUCUUCGGUCAAAUGUGAUGUGAUGAUGAUGUGACAAAUGAUUGAGUGUUUUGCACCAGAAUCCAAAACAAUUGCAACACAAUUUGUUUUUUAGGGAAAGUGUUAAACUGUAAUUUGACAAAUUGUGAUGGUUUUGCCACGUUUGAUGAUGUAGGUCUGGGGCUUCACGACCAGUAGGUUAAGCGCACAGGACAGAUGCACUGUUUGGUGCUGGUUUAGCAUAUCUACUAAUAGCGAAAUAUCUCUGCACCAUGAGCUCUCGAACCUGGCCACUCCACGUUCCAAAAUCAGGACCUUUGGAUGGAUCUUGGGCUUGAUCUCAACCGUCGUUUCUUUUGCCUUCCGCGCCAUCAUUCCACAGGCCGCGAGCGCUCGCGUUUUUCCUUGAGCGUCGUUCUUGCCAAUGCUAGCUCUCCAAUUUUUUUUAUUUUUAUAUUUAAAUUAAUUUUGUUUGUAAAAAUAUUGUACGAAUUUUAAAAUUUGUAGAAAUAUGGUCCUGUCGUCCUUUGAGAGGAUGAUUUUUUGUCUUUUUUUAUUGAACGAAUUGCAACGGCUAGUAGCAGAUACCUGUGUACGUUCGCAGGAAUGAUGUGCUGCACAGGCAAUGAGGAGGCCUGGAACAGCCCGAACUGGCGGAGGACCCGGUGCACAACGUGCUCCUCCACGAAGAUGUCGAAGACGAGCGGUUUCCUAGUCGGCCAAUAGUCCCUGUCUUAAAAGCAUAGGGACAAAAGGCCGUAAGGAGCACGUUGUUGCACGACGUUGUCGGCGUACAGGGUCUAGUGGACCUGGUCAUCCUUCAGGUCGUCGAGCUCAGCGACGAAGCUCAAGUACGACCUCCGUGUCUGCCGAUUUUUUUAGCUCUUUUUUCGAAAAAAAUUCAUGUUUAGACCCCUGGAAGACUUAAUUCCGUUUUUGGACCCUUUGCUCGGCGUCAUAGCCUGUGGCGCCGAGGUAACACGUCUCGGUGUCACAGGCUGUGGCGCCGAGGUACCAGCCGCGCUGGCGAGCGAGGACUGACGCGGCGUUCACGUGGCACCUAGCUACCUGAGGUCGCAGUGGAGUCAAGCUACUGGUGGCGGAGGUGGUGGAAUCGGAUGGCCUCCUAUCUACAAAAAAAACAUAGUAGUCUCAGCAAAAAUUUCGGCAGCACCUUUCUAUACGAUGAGGUUUCUAAAACCCGCAGAGAAAUGAACAUCACAAUGGCUGUCAUCCACACUUUCCAACACAGAAAACAGCAUGAUGGCUGACAUACAAAUGCGCAGUAACUAAAUAUAGAAACAACAAAAUAGCUACCUACCUGUAUGUACUAACAACUAUAUUCACUAAAUAUAUUAAGCAAAAUGAAAUAAACUAAAGUAAACUAAGUAAAUACUUAACUAAAUUACAGCUAAACUAACAAAUACACGGCCGGUCCACCUCGUCUCGGUGGUACAACACCUGGCCGUACGCAGAAAGGUCUAUCGCGGGCUGUCCAAUCUAAAAACCUCUCGUAUGACCAGAGCUGUACUAGUAAAGGGCAGCUAGUGAAGAUGGCCAAAGGAUCGGUCUUUAUGCAGCCAUCAUAGAGGCCCCGAUACGUCGCGCCUAGCACGACGUUACCCCAGUACUGGGAAACCUGGCUAAGGGAGGCAUUCGCGAUCGCCCUCGCGUAGUGGAUCAUGUCCUUCCUCACGGAGUUACUGUGAGUACUAGUGAACAUGACCCACCCGAAGAGCCACAACAGGUACGCCUCCAUAUGUCGGGCCAUCGUGUAGCUAUCGGUGUCGAUCCUCAUGUACUCCGCCUGAGCACAUGAAGUUAGUAACAAAACAUGGUAAUGUACAGCGUGUUAGGUUCACGGAAUGGCACCGUGAGGAGUCAUCCAAUCCUGCGUCCAAACCUCGAUAGAUUGUUUGGUUUGCUAAAGGGAACCAACCUGUCUGCCAUAAGAUUACACCCUCCUCCAGUAUAUUCACGGCAUCCACUCAUUCCUCUAGAAAUAAUCGGACGAACACAUGCCGGACGCACUGAUGCUAGACGGGGUGUGUACUCCCCAAACCAAACAGCUCGGUAAAGAUUACUGUAACGGUAGUCCUAAAUGGGAUGAAUACUUGAUACCUCGAACUGUCUUUGUCCGAACAACCAUUUUUCAUGACUCCGAUCAAGCACCCACGUUUUUGGCCUCGGGAGCCGGUAAGGUAGUUUUUGGUCUCCCGUGACCUAUAGCACACAUUUUUCUAGCCGAACAACCAUUUUUCAAGACUCUAGUGGCCGAACCAUGGGAGCUUUACCCUUAAAAAAUUAGAAAGUUUGUUUGCUUGGGCAUUAAGCUUGGUGUUAUCUUGACUUACAUGUUGGAAACCAACAACAUCCUUAAUGCCAGGGCGUCUCCCAUUAUAAAGCAUGCUACGAGCAAAUUUAAAAUUUUCAUUUUCAAGCUCAUGCUCGGCAAUCUUAGCAUCUAAUUUUGCUAUAUGAUCAUUUUGGUUUUUAAUCAAAGCAAGAUGAUCAUAAAUAGCAUCAACAUCAAUAUCUCUACAUCUAGUGCAAAUAGUAACAUGCUCAACGGUAGAUGUAGAGACAGGGCAAGCAUUCAAUUUCUCAAUCUUAGCAAUUAAAUUCACAUUUUCAGAUUUAAGACAAGGAAUUGAAUCAUUGCAAGUUUUUAGCUCAUUAGUCAAAUUCUUGCAUUUUUCCUUUUCAUGAGCUAAGGCCUUUUCUAGCUAAACAUAUUUAUCAUGUUCCUUAGUGAGCAAUUCUUCUUGACAUUCUAAGACAUCAUCCUUUUCAUUGAUAGAGCUCACUAAUUCAUUGAUUUUAUCAAUUUGUUUUUGAGAAAGGUCUUUGAACAAUAAAGUUAAAUCUUCUUCAUUAUCACUAGAAUCACCCUCGUCAUCGGAAGUAGUAUAUUUGGGGGUGGUUCUAGGUGUUACCUUCCUCUUGGUCUCCUUGGCCAUGAGACACUUAUGGCCGAGGUUGGGGAAGAGAAGUCCCUUGUUGACGACGAUGUUGGCGGCGUCCUCGUCGGAGGAGUCGGUGGAGCUCUCGUCGGAGUCCCACUCUCACAACAUGUGCCUCGCCAUCCUUCUUCUUGUGGUAGUAUUUCUUCUUCUCCAUCUUCUUCUUUCCCUUCUUGUCCUCGUCCCUGUCACUAUCACUAGCAAAUAGACAUUUAGCAAUAUAGUGACCGGGCUUACCACAUCGGUAGCAAACCCUCUUGGUGCGGGGUUUCUAGUCCUUCCCCUUCCUUUGCUUGAGGAUUUGCCGAAAGCUCUUGAUGAUAAGAGCCAUCUCCUCAUUGUCAAGCUUGGAGGCGUCAAUUGGGAUCCUCUUGCUUGGCGUGAGUUCCUCCUUGUCUUCGGUUGCUUUGAAUGCAACGGGUUGUGCCUCGGGUGUGGAGGUGGCUCCUUGCUCCAAGUUCGCAAUGUGUUUGGAGUGUUUGGCCAUAAGUUCAAAGCUCACAAAAUGCUUUCGUGGAGUGAUGUUAGGUGAUAUCUCAUCUUUUCACUCCAAAUAGAAUAAUCUACACCAUCAAAAUAUGGUGGUUUACCUAAAGGAACGGAAAUGAGAUUGGAACGUCUAGAAAUACGAGGGUAACGAAAAGGAAUUUUGUUACUCUUUUUGUGCUCUUGGCGCUUGGAGAUCGACUCGGCGUCGGAUGUCGAUGGCGUGGAGGAGUCGGUCUCGUAGGCUUCAUCUUCUUUUUCUUCUUGCCAUCUUUCUUGUGUGACUUGAUGGAGCCGGCGGAUUCUUCUUUCUUUUCCUUGUGCUUGUCGCCGGAUAGCUUAAUCUCCCUUGAUGAAAUCUUGGCUUCAUGCUUCUUUCCCGAAGACUCGGGCUUUGCCCCGGUGGGUACCUCGUUCUUGGCGUGUUCACUCGACAUCACUUCGAGUUGUUAAACUCUAAUGAAGUGCCGGGCUCCUAUACCAAUUGAAAGUCGCCUACAGGGGGGGUGAAUAGGCGAAGCCUGAAAAUACUCGUCAGCUCGCUUGGCUCGUGGCCGGCUCUGCUCGGCUUGUUUCAAUUUUGUAAUGAGCUGAGCUAGCAUCCCAGCUCGGUUUGUUAACGAGCCAGCUCGUUAGCUCGAACGAGCUAGCAUUUGUCAGCAAAAUAAAGCCUCCACUCAUGUUAGAUGAACUAAUAAGUGAUGAACUCUGUUAAUUUGGUCUUGAAUUCAUGUGGUAUAUGAAAUUGUGAGUAUUAUUACGCAUUUUAGUGUUAAAUUGGUCUAUAAUUAAUUAACAAUUGAUUAUAUUGUUAUGUAUAUAUGCAUAUUAUUUUUGUUGUUGUGGCUCGCGAGCUAAACGAGCCAGCUCGAUCUCACAAAUGAGCCGAGCCGAGCUGAUUCUCUGGCUCGGUUCCUUAACGAGCCGAGCUGAGCCAGCUCGUUACCUUAACAAGCCAGCUCGAGCUCGACCGAGCCAAACCGAGCUAGCUCGAUAUCCAGCCCUAGUCAAGGUUCAUGGCAUUCUGAGCCAGGUAUAGGACUUUUUCCAUUUAGCUUCUUCCUUUGCCGAUGCUGUCACCACCAUUUAUGAACAAGCAACACUGUUUCGAGUUAUGCAGUUUACCUCUUUUUGUUUUGUUUUUUCAUCUAUAUUUUGUGGCUAAUUAUAUUCAUCUUGUGCGGAUAUGGGGACGGAAAGCCUACUGAUAAUGCAUCAAGAUUCUACAAAUGGUUCGCUGAGGGGGAAGAGAAGGAAGUUUGCUAAAGGAUCUUAAAUAUUGCGUCUUUGGACUUGGGAACACGCAGUAUGAGCAUUUUAAUAAGGUUGCAAAGAUGGUGCAUGAGCUGCUACAAGAACAGGGUGGGAAACGCCUUGUUCCUGUUGGCCUUGCCUUGGAGACGAUGAUGAGUGCAUCGAGGAUUUCACCGCAUGGUAUGAAGGCUACAAUAAUGCAAUCUGGUUGCAUUCCUUCCCCUGGUAGACAUUAUGCAAUCUAGCUUGUUGCUUCAAACGCCAAAUCCAUGAAUGAGUUCUAAUUCUUGGUGUCGAUUGGUCCUUUAUGUGGAUACUAAACAGAGGUAUCUUUGUCCUACCAGCCAGGAGUUUGUUUCUGGUCCGGAUUGGGGAAAUGAAUGUCCUUACUAAGUCAUUAUCCAACAGUAGAUGAUUUGCUAAA